ACUCCUACGGGAGGCAGCAGUGGGGAAUAUUGCACAGUGGGCGCAAGCCUGAUGCAGCGACGCCGCGUGGGGGAUGAAGGCCUUCGGGUUGUAAACUCCUUUCGCUAGGGACGAAGCUUUUUUGUGACGGUACCUAGAUAAGAAGCACCGGCUAACUACGUGCCAGCAGCCGCGGUAAUACGUAGGGUGCGAGCGUUGUCCGGAAUUACUGGGCGUAAAGGGCUCGUAGGUGGUUUGUCGCGUCGUCUGUGAAAUUCUGGGGCUUAACUCCGGGCGUGCAGGCGAUACGGGCAUAACUUGAGUGCUGUAGGGGUAACUGGAAUUCCUGGUGUAGCGGUGAAAUGCGCAGAUAUCAGGAGGAACACCGAUGGCGAAGGCAGGUUACUGGGCAGUUACUGACGCUGAGGAGCGAAAGCAUGGGUAGCGAACAGGAUUAGAAACCCUAGUAGUCCCAUGA
rnacentral:rRNA from 1 species